UUUUAAAAAUUUAUUAAUGUUGGUUUUUAAUUUUUUUUGGUAGAAAUAUUUUGAUUGAAUUAAUUUAUUGAACUAUUAAAUUUAAUGAUAGAUAAAAGUACUGUAAAGGUUAAUGAAAAAAGAUUAAAAGAAGAUUUUUUGUUGUACCUUGUGUAUCAGGGUUGAUAAAAAUAAUAUUAAGGAUUGGAUUUUCUCGAGAUCAAAAGAUUUAUAUAAAAAUAUAUUUUAUUGUUUUAUAAAUAUUUAAAAUUUUUUUAUAGGAGUGAAAUGUUAUUCGUUUUUGAUUUUAUCUAGUUAUUUAGGAAAUAAAUUUAAUUUAUUUAUUAUAGUAUUAAUUUAUCUUUUGUUGGGAUGAAUUGGUUAUAUUAAUUAAUUUUUGACGGGAUUAGCUGUUAGAAAAAUUUUUAUAAGGUUAUUAUUUAAAAUAUUUAGUAGGAUUGGAAAUUUCUUUCUUUUAAAGUUUGUUAUAAUUUUGUAUAUAAUAUUUUAAUUUUUAUUUUUCUUUAAGUUUUUUACUAAAUUGAUUUAUUUAAUUGAAAAAUAAUUUUAAUAAUGAUUAAAUUAGUAUAUUAAAUUGUAUUUAUAGAUUUAUGUGAUUGGUUUAGAAAAGGAAUUCGGCAAUUAGAAUUCUCAACUGUUUAUUAAAAACAUGGCUUUAUGUAGUUAUUUAAGGUCAGGCCUGCCCACUGACGAUUAGUUAAAUGGCCGCAGUAUAUUAACUGUGCAAAGGUAGCAUAAUCAUUAGUUCUUUAAUUGUGAGCUGGAAUGAAAGGUUUUAUGAGGAAUAAAGUGUCUCUUUUAAAUUUAUAGAAUUUUAUUUUUAAGUAAGAAAGCUUAAAUUUAUUAAAAAGACGAGAAGACCCUAUAGAGUUUUAUUUUAAUUAUUAAAUUGAUUAGUUUUAUUAAUUUAGGUAAUUAAAAUUUUGUUGGGGUGAUAGAAAAAUUUAAUAAACUUUUUUUUUGUAAAUACAUAAAUUAAUGAGUAAAUGAUCCUUAUUAAAGAUUAGAAGAUUAAAUUACCUUAGGGAUAACAGCGUAAUUUCUUUUGAGAGUUCAAAUCAAUAAAGGAGUUUGCGACCUCGAUGUUGGAUUAAAAUUAAUGUGGGGUGUAGAAGCUUCAUUAUUAGGUCUGUUCGACCUUUAAAAUUUUACAUGAUCUGAGUUUAGACCGGUGUAAGCCAGGUUGGUUUCUAUCUUUUGAUAAGUUAAUAAUUUAGUACGAAAGGACCAAUUAUUAAAAUAAUAUUUAGUUUUGAUUUGAUUAAAAU
rnacentral:rRNA from 1 species